GGUUGAAUAGUCUAGUUGGUUAGGACGUGGGAUUCUGAUGCGAGAAGCUCACCAUUCCCGAAGCUCCGGUUCGAGUCCGGGUUCGACCU